rnacentral:rRNA from 1 species
CCCUUUGGGGUGUGACUGCGUACCUUUUGUAUAAUGGGUCAGCGACUUAUAUUCUGUAGCAAGGUUAACCGAAUAGGGGAGCCGGAGGGAAACCGAGUCUUAACCGGGCGUUAAGUUGCAGGGUAUAGACCCGAAACCCGGUGAUCUAGCCAUGGGCAGGUUGAAGGUUGGGUAACACUAACUGGAGGACCGAACCGACUAAUGUUGAAAAAUUAGCGGAUGACCUGUGGCUGGGGGUGAAAGGCCAAUCAAACCGGGAGAUAGCUGGUUCUCCCCGAAAGCUAUUUAGGUAGCGCCUCGUGAAUUCAUCUCCGGGGGUAGAGCACUGUUUCGGCUAGGGGGCCAUCCCGGCUUACCAACCCGAUGCAAACUGCGAAUACCGGAGAAUGUUAUCACGGGAGACACACGGCGGGUGCUAACGUCCGUCGUGAAGAGGGAAACAACCCAGACCGCCAGCUAAGGUCCCAAAGUCAUGGUUAAGUGGGAAACGAUGUGGGAAGGCCCAGACAGCCAGGAUGUUGGCUUAGAAGCAGCCAUCAUUUAAAGAAAGCGUAAUAGCUCACUGGUCGAGUCGGCCUGCGCGGAAGAUGUAACGGGGCUAAACCAUGCACCGAAGCUGCGGCAGCGACGCUGAUGCGUUGUUGGGUAGGGGAGCG